GACACAGUGGCAGAGAUGGCUUAAUGCACUUGUCUACUAAACAAGAGUACUAAAGAGUACCGUAGGUUCGAAUCCUACCUGUGUCG
rnacentral:tRNA from 1 species